CCUACGGGCGGCUGCAGUGGGGAAUAUUGGACAAUGGGGGCAACCCUGAUCCAGCCAUGCCGCGUGUGUGAAGAAGGCCCUCGGGUUGUAAAGCACUUUCAGUGAGGAAGAACGCCUGGUGGUUAAUACCCAUCAGGAAAGACAUCACUCACAGAAGAAGCACCGGCUAACUCCGUGCCAGCAGCCGCGGUAAUACGGAGGGUGCGAGCGUUAAUCGGAAUUACUGGGCGUAAAGCGCGCGUAGGUGGCUUGAUAAGCCGGUUGUGAAAGCCCCGGGCUCAACCUGGGAACGGCAUCCGGAACUGUCAAGCUAGAGUGCAGGAGAGGAAGGUAGAAUUCCCGGUGUAGCGGUGAAAUGCGUAGAGAUCGGGAGGAAUACCAGUGGCGAAGGCGGCCUUCUGGACUGACACUGACACUGAGGUGCGAAAGCGUGGGUAGCAAACAGGAUUAGAUACCCUAGUAGU
rnacentral:rRNA from 1 species